GCCAGCGUGGUGUAGUGGUUUGAGUGUUGGACUAUGACUCUGGUGAUCAGGGUUCGAUUCCCACUCAAGCA
rnacentral:tRNA from 1 species